rnacentral:rRNA from 1 species
UAGGGAAUCUUCCGCAAUGGACGAAAGUCUGACGGAGCAACGCCGCGUGAGUGAAGAAGGAUUUCGGUUCGUAAAACUCUGUUGUUAGGGAAGAAAAAAUGUAUAGUAACUAUAUACAAAAGAGACGGUACCUAACCAGAAAGCCACGGCUAACUACGUGCCAGCAGCCGCGGUAAUACGUAGGUGGCAAGCGUUGUCCGGAAUUAUUGGGCGUAAAGCGCGCGCAGGUGGUUCAGAAAGUCUGAUGUGAAAGCCCACGGCUCAACCGUGGAGGGUCAUUGGAAACUAAUAAACUUGAGUGCAGGAGAGAAAAGUGGAAUUCCUAGUGUAGCGGUGAAAUGCGUAGAGAUUAGGAGGAACACCGGUGGCGAAAGCGGCUUUUUGGCCUGCAACUGACACUGAGGCGCGAAAGCGUGGGGAGCAAACAGG